AGAGACUUACAGCCGGUUUCCGAAACGUUAUUCAAAUCUUCGAUCAUCUAAUCGAGCUGUUAGAUUUGAUCAACUGUUAACCAGUGACGAGUUUCUCAAACGUCGAUCAUCUUAAAAUUAUAUGAUCGUAGAAAAUCGAUUAUCUGACAUACGAUUUGGUAUCGAUACUGUCACAAUCGGCUGUCAUCCUUCAAAAUUUCAUUUUAUAACCAAAAAAUUUCAAUCCAUAGUAAAUAACUACAUAAUUUAUAUAAUUAAAAAAUAUAUUAAAAAUGAGCAAUACCAACGGAAAUCCUCCACGCAAAAAUUAUACUGAGAGAGAGAGAGAAAUGUUUGCUGUUGGAAAUAAUUGGAAAAUACAAGCAUAUUAAAUUGAAAACAAAUAAUGUACCAAUGCUAUGUCCACCAACCAAAACAAUGAAACCUGGGAAAAAAUAGCGCUGAAUUUCCCAGAACUCCCAAGCAGCUGAACACUGCAUAUAUAAACUUAAAAAGGGUCACUAGCCAAAAAGUAGCAGAGGAAAAUAUUCAAAAAUAUAAUGAGCAGAAGGUUUUGGACCAGUUGAAGAGAGACCAAACUGCGGACAAAAAAGACAUACUUGCAACAGAUGGUGGCACAUUUAGGCCUCGUCUCACAGAUGUAGGGGCACAAAUGUUGAGUUUGAUUGGCAAUCAAAUCCAACCUUUACCCGACAGUUGUGACAGUGCAUCUGGUUUCUUCACAUCUGUUGCACAAGACAGUCAAGUGGAAGUAGAUUACCUACAAUUGGAAGACACAUAGCAGACGUCCAAUGUACCCUCUACUUCCACUGUGCUGCUCAGUACACCCACGACAACUGCUGUCCUGCCCAAGAAGACAGCCAAGAUGUCUCAGGCUCGUUCAAAAAAUAAAAAAGUAAAAGAUGUAGGGAGCGAAACCCUUAAUGUAUCUUUUACAAAAAAAAUUGAAACAGCAAGACUAGAAAAAAGAAGUAAGAUAGUAUUUUUCAACAAGAAAAAAAGAAAUUUUAGAAGUAGAGCUUCAAAUAAAAAAAUUCGAUCUCAAUAAAUUAUUCGGUAAUAGUGGUUAGGUAUGUACCUAAUAAAGUAAUUUUAAAUAAAAAUUGUAA
rnacentral:lncRNA from 1 species